CUCCGUGCCAACCUCCCUCCUCAUGCGGUGGAGGCUGCCGGGGUCCUAGCCGGUUUCGGCGGGAGCGGCGGCCGCAACAUGGCAGAGACCGCAGCCGGAGUGGGCCGCUUCAAGGCCAACUAUGUUGUGGAGUGCAAAAUCGAACCUUUCUACAAGGGUGGAAAAGCACAGCUGGACCAGACUGGCCAGCACCUCUUCUGUGUCUGUGGCACCAGAGUCAACAUUCUGGAGGUGGCCUCCGGGGCCGUGCUGCAGAGUCUGGAGCAGGAAGACCAGGAGGAUAUCACUGCCUUCGAUCUCAGUCCUGACGAUGAGGUGCUGGUGACAGCCAGCCGGGCAUUGCUGCUGGCUCAGUGGGCCUGGCGAGAGGGCAGCUUUACCCGCCUUUGGAAGGCGAUACACACAGCCCCUGUGGCCCCCAUGACCUUCGACCCCACCGCCACGCUGCUAGCCAUGGGUGGCUGUGACGGGGCUGUGCGCGUCUGGGACACUGUGCGGCACUAUGGGACACACCAUUUACGAGGCUCGUCCAGUGUUGUGCACCUGGUGGCCUUCCACCCAGACCCCACACGCCUGCUGCUCUCCUCGGCCGCAGAAGCACUGCAGGAUCCGUCGUGCCUGGCUGUGCUGACUGCCCACUACAGCACUGUCACCUCACUGGCUUUCAGUGCCGACGGCCACACUAUGCUCAGCUCCGGCUGUGACAAGAUCUGUAUCAUCUGGGACCUUCAGAGCCACCAGGCCACGAGGACUGUGCUGGUGUUUGAGAACGUGGAGACCGCUGUGCUGUUGCCAGAGGAGCUGGCAUCUGAGCUGGGUAUGAAGUCCCCAGGCCUGCACUUCCUGACAGCUGGCGACCAAGGCACUCUGCGCGUGUGGGAGGCAGCUUCUGGGCAGUGUGUGUACACGCAGGCCCGGCCGCCGGGCCCUGGGCGGGAGCUGACCCACUGCACCCUGGCCCGCACCGCCGGCCUGCUCCUCAGCGCCACUGCCGACCAUGACCUGCUGCUCUACGAGGCUCACUCCCCGCGGCUGCAGAAACAGUGCACUGGCUAUAGUGAGGAGGUCCUGGAUGCCCGGUUUCUUGGGUCUCAGGACUCCCACAUCAGCGUGGCCUCCAAUAGCCCCUGCCUGACAGUGUUUGAGCUACAGACAUCAGCCUGCCAGAUCCUCCAUGGCCACAGGGAUAUCGUUCUGGCUCUGGACGUGUUCCGGAAGGGGUGGCUCUUUGCCAGCUGUGCCAAGGAUCAGAGUGUCCGAAUCUGGAGGAUGAACAAGGCUGGCCAGGUGGUCUGCAUGACUCAGGGUUCCGGCCAUAUGCACAGUGUCGGCACCAUCUGCUGCUCUAGGCUGAAGGAGCCCUUCCUGGUGACGGGCAGCCAGGACUGCACUGUGAAGCUGUGGCCUCCUCCCAAAGCCCUGCUGUCUAAGAACACAGCCCCAGACAGUGGCCCUGUCCUCCUGCAGGCCCAGAACACUCAGCGUUGCCACGAUAAGGAUAACAACAGCGUGGCCACUGCCCCCAACGACAAGCUGUUGGCCACGGGCUCAUAGGAACGCAUGGCCAAGCUCUGGGCCCUGUCACAGUGCCAGCUGCUGGGUGUCUUCUCAGGCCACCGGCACGGCCUCUGGUGUGUCCAGUUCUCUCCCACGGACCAGGUGCCGGCCACAGCCUCAGCUGACGGCACCAUCAAGCUCUGGGCGCUCUAGGACUUCAGCUGUCUCAAGACAUUUGAGGGACACGAUGCUUCCAUGCUGAAGGUGGCCUUUGUGAGCUGGGGCACACAGCUGCUGUCCAGCGGCUCAGAUGGCCUUGUGAAGCUCUGGACCAUCAAGAACAACGAGUGUGUGCAGACGCUGGAUGCCCACGAUGACAAGGCCUGGGGGCCGCACCACAGCCAGCUGGAUGACCGCACCCUCACUGGCGCCAGCGACUCCCAAGUCAUCCUCUGGAAGGAUGUGA